GUAGGGGGCCAGCGUUGUUCGGAAUUACUGGGUGUAAAGGGUUCGUAGGCGGUGUGGCAAGUUGGGAGUGAAAUCUCUGGGCUCAACCCAGAGACGGCUUCCAAAACUGCCGUGCUCGAGUGUGGGAGAGGCUCGUGGAAUUGCAGGUGUAGCGGUGAAAUGCGUAGAUAUCUGCAGGAACACCCGUGGCGAAAGCGGCGAGCUGGACCACUACUGACGCUGAAGAACGAAAGCUAGGGGAGCAAACAGGAUUAGAUACCCUGGUAGUCCUAGCCCUAAACGAUCAGGACUUGGGGUGCCACCCGUUCGGGUGGCGUCCCGGAGCUAACGCGUUAAGUCCUGCACCUGGGGAGUACGGUCGCA
rnacentral:rRNA from 1 species